AGAGGGGGAUAACUAGCUGGAAACGGUAGCUAAUACCGCAUAACGUCGCAAGACCAAAGAGGGGGACCUUCGGGCCUCUUGCCAUCAGAUGUGCCCAGAUGGGAUUAGCUAGUAGGUGGGGUAACGGCUCACCUAGGCGACGAUCCCUAGCUGGUCUGAGAGGAUGACCAGCCACACUGGAACUGAGACACGGUCCAGACUCCUACGGGAGGCAGCAGUGGGGAAUAUUGCACAAUGGGCGCAAGCCUGAUGCAGCCAUGCCGCGUGUAUGAAGAAGGCCUUCGGGUUGUAAAGUACUUUCAGCGGGGAGGAAGGCGUUGAGGUUAAUAACCUCAGCGAUUGACGUUACCCGCAGAAGAAGCACCGGCUAACUCCGUGCCAGCAGCCGCGGUAAUACGGAGGGUGCAAGCGUUAAUCGGAAUUACUGGGCGUAAAGCGCACGCAGGCGGUCUGUCAAGUCGGAUGUGAAAUCCCCGGGCUCAACCUGGGAACUGCAUUCGAAACUGGCAGGCUAGAGUCUUGUAGAGGGGGGUAGAAUUCCAGGUGUAGCGGUGAAAUGCGUAGAGAUCUGGAGGAAUACCGGUGGCGAAGGCGGCCCCUGGACAAAGACUGACACUCAGGUGCGAAAGCGUGGGGAGCAAACAGGAUUAAGAUACCCUGGUAGUCCACGCCGAAACGAU
rnacentral:rRNA from 1 species